rnacentral:rRNA from 1 species
AUUGAACGCUGGCGGCAGGCCUAACACAUGCAAGUCGAACGAGUGGCGGACGGGUGAGUAAUGUCUGGGAAACUGCCUGAUGGAGGGGGAUAACUACUGGAAACGGUAGCUAAUACCGCAUACCAUCGGAUGUGCCCAGAUGGGAUUAGCUUGUUUGUGGGGUCACGGCUCACCAAGGCGACGAGCCCUAGCUGGUCUGAGAGGAUGACCAUGCACACUGGAACUGAGACACGGUCCAGACUCCGACGGGAGGCAGCAGUGGGGAAUAUUGCACAAUGGGCGCAAGCCUGAUGCAGCCAUGCCGCGUGUAUGAAGAAGGCCUUCGGGUUGUAAAGGACUUUCAGCGGGGAGGCGUUACCCGCAGAAGAAGCACCGGCUAACUCCGUGCCAGCAGCCGCGGUAAUUC